rnacentral:tmRNA from 1 species
GGGGGCGACCUGGCUUCGACGUCGGUUGCAAAGCCCAAGGUGCAUGUCGAGGAGGUAACUCACCUCGUAAAAUAUGUUACAAACUUAUAGUUGCCAAAAACCGCAACUCUGCUAAUGAUCGUAACUACUCCGCUCGCGAAGUAGUUGCAAUCGCUGCCUAGUAAGGCCGCAUAGCACCUCUCACCAUCUGUGCUUGUACGGGUGGGUGUUUACGUAAGUAAACACGAGGGGUCAUAUCUUACAAGCUCGCAACAAAGCCUGCCCGAGGCCGCGUUGCUAAAGCAAUAGGGCUAGUUGCUUAAUCACCUUGCCGGUCAGGGGAUGAGCCGCGAAUUUAAAUGAUACGGCUACACAUGUAGAUCCAAAGGUAGAGGACUUGCGGACGCGGGUUCAAUUCCCGCCGCCUCCACCA